rnacentral:rRNA from 1 species
GACGAACGCUGGCGGCGUGCUUAACACAUGCAAGUCGAACGCUGAAGCCCUUUCGGGGGUGGAUGAGUGGCGAACGGGUGAGUAACACGUGGGUAAUCUGCCCUGUACUUCGGGAUAAGCCUUGGAAACGGGGUCUAAUACCGGAUAGGACAUGUCACCGCAUGGUGGUGUGUGGAAAGUUCCGGCGGUAUGGGAUGAGCCCGCGGCCUAUCAGCUUGAUGGUGGGGUGAUGGCCUACCAUGGCGACGACGGGUAGCCGGCCUGAGAGGGUGACCGGCCACACUGGGACUGAGACACGGCCAGACUCCUACGGGAGGCAGCAGUGGGGAAUCUUGCGCAAUGGGCGAAAGCCUGACGCAGCAACGCCGCGUGAGGGAGGACGGCCUUCGGGUUGUAAACCUCUUUCGACACCGACGAAGGCCCGUUGGGUUUGACGGUAGGUGUGGAAGAAGCACCGGCUAACUACGUGCCAGCCGCCGCGGUAAGAC